GGCGCUAUAGUGUAGUGGCUAUCACAACGGAUUCUGACCUUUGUGUAAUCUUCCGUUAACCCAGGUUCGAACCCUGGUAGCGCCU